rnacentral:rRNA from 1 species
UACGUAGGGUGCGAGCGUUAAUCGGAAUUACUGGGCGUAAAGCGUGCGCAGGCGGUGCGUUGUGUCGGUGGUGAAAUCCCCGGGCUUAACCUGGGAACUGCCAUCGAAACUGGAGAGCUCGAGUCCGGGAGAGGUGAGUGGAACUGCGAGUGUAGAGGUGAAAUUCGUAGAUAUUCGCAAGAACACCAGUGGCGAAGGCGGCGCACUGGCCCGAUACUGACGCUGAGGUGCGAAAGCGUGGGGAGCAAACAGG